UACGGAAGGCAGCAGUGGGGAAUAUUGCACAAUGGGCGCAAGCCUGAUGCAGCCAUGCCGCGUGUAUGAAAAAGGCCUUCGGGUUGUAAAGUACUUUCAGUCGUGAGGAAGGUGUUAAGGUUAAUAACCUUAGCAAUUGACGUUAGCGACAGAAGAAGCACCGGCUAACUCCGUGCCAGCAGCCGCGGUAAUACGGAGGGUGCGAGCGUUAAUCGGAAUUACUGGGCGUAAAGGGCACGCAGGCGGUUAAUUAAGUUGGAUGUGAAAUCCCCGGGCUUAACCUGGGAAUGGCAUUCAAGACUGGUUAGCUAGAGUCUUGUAGAGGGGGUAGAAUUCCAUGUGUAGCGGUGAAAUGCGUAGAGAUGUGGAGGAAUACCGGUGGCGAAGGCGGCCCCUGGACAAAGACUGGACGCUCAUGUGCGAAAGCGUGGGGAGCAAACGAGGGAUUAGGAUACC
rnacentral:rRNA from 1 species